AUUGAACGCUGGCGGCAGGCCUAACACAUGCAAGUCGAACGGUAACAGGAAGCAGCUUGCUGCUUCGCUGACGAGUGGCGGACGGGUGAGUAAUGUCUGGGAAACUGCCUGAUGGAGGGGGAUAACUACUGGAAACGGUAGCUAAUACCGCAUAACGUCGCAAGACCAAAGAGGGGGACCUUAGGGCCUCUCGCCAUCGGAUGUGCCCAGAUGGGAUUAGCUAGUAGGUGGGGUAACGGCUCACCUAGGGGACGAUCCCUAGCUGGUCUGAGAGGAUGACCAGCCACACUGGAACUGAGACACGGUCCAGACUACUACGGGAGGCAGCAGUGGGGAAUAUUGCACAAUGGGCGCAAGCCUGAUGCAGCCAUGCCGCGUGUAUGAAGAAGGCCUUCGGGUUGUAAAGUACUUUCAGCGGGGAGGAAGGGAGUAAAGUUAAUACCUUUGCUCAUUGACGUUACCCGCAGAAGAGGCACCGGCUAACUCCGUG
rnacentral:rRNA from 1 species